rnacentral:rRNA from 1 species
UUGAACGCUGGCGGCAGGCCUAACACAUGCAAGUCGAACGGUAACAGGAAGAAGCUUGCUUCUUUGCUGACGAGUGGCGGACGGGUGAGUAAUGUCUGGGAAACUGCCUGAUGGAGGGGGAUAACUACUGGAAACGGUAGCUAAUACCGCAUAACGUCGCAAGACCAAAGAGGGGGACCUUCGGGCCUCUUGCCAUCGGAUGUGCCCAGAUGGGAUUAGCUAGUAGGUGGGGUAACGGCUCACCUAGGCGACGAUCCCUAGCUGGUCUGAGAGGAUGACCAGCCACACUGGAACUGAGACACGGUCCAGACUCCUACGGGAGGCAGCAGUGGGGAAUAUUGCACAAUGGGCGCAAGCCUGAUGCAGCCAUGCCGCGUGUAUGAAGAAGGCCUUCGGGUUGUAAAGUACUUUCAGCGGGGAGGAAGGGAGUAAAGUUAAUACCUUUGCUCAUUGACGUUACCCGCAGAAGAAGCACCGGCUAACUCCGUGCCAGCAGCCGCGGUAAUACGGAGGGUGCAAGCGUUAAUCGGAAUUACUGGGCGUAAAGCGCACGCAGGCGGUUUGUUAAGUCAGAUGUGAAAUCCCCGGGCUCAACCUGGGAACUGCAUCUGAUACUGGCAAGCUUGAGUCUCGUAGAGGGGGGUAGAAUUCCAGGUGUAGCGGUGAAAUGCGUAGAGAUCUGGAGGAAUACCGGUGGCGAAGGCGGCCCCCUGGACGAAGACUGACGCUCAGGUGCGAAAGCGUGGGGAGCAAACAGGAUUAGAUACCCUGGUAGUCCACGCCGUAAACGAUGUCGACUUGGAGGUUGUGCCCUUGAGGCGUGGCUUCCGGAGCUAACGCGUUAAGUCGACCGCCUGGGGAGUACGGCCGCAAGGUUAAAACUCAAAUGAAUUGACGGGGGCCCGCACAAGCGGUGGAGCAUGUGGUUUAAUUCGAUGCAACGCGAAGAACCUUACCUGGUCUUGACAUCCACGGAAGUUUUCAGAGAUGAGAAUGUGCCUUCGGGAACCGUGAGACAGGUGCUGCAUGGCUGUCGUCAGCUCGUGUUGUGAAAUGUUGGGUUAAGUCCCGGAACGAGCGCAACCCUUAUCCUUUGUUGCCAGCGGUCCGGCCGGGAACUCAAAGGAGACUGCCAGUGAUAAACUGGAGGAAGGUGAGGAUGACGUCAAGUCAUCAUGGCCCUUACGACCAGGGCUACACACGUGCUACAAUGGCGCAUACAAAGAGAAGCGACCUCGCGAGAGCAAGCGGACCUCAUAAAGUGCGUCGUAGUCCGGAUUGGAGUCUGCAACUCGACUCCAUGAAGUCGGAAUCGCUAGUAAUCGUGGAUCAGAAUGCCACGGUGAAUACGUUCCCGGGCCUUGUACGCACCGCCCGUCACACCAUGGGAGUGGGUUGCAAAAGAAGUAGGUAGCUUAACCUUCGGGAGGGCGCUUACCACUUUGUGAUUCAUGACUGGGGUG